UACGUAGGGCGCAAGCGUUGUCCGGAAUUAUUGGGCGUAAAGAGCUCGUAGGUGGUUUGUCGCGUUGUUCGUGAAAACCUGAGGCUUAACCUUGGGCGUGCGGGCGAUACGGGCAGACUGGAGUACUGCAGGGGAGACUGGAAUUCCUGGUGUAGCGGUGGAAUGCGCAGAUAUCAGGAGGAACACCGAUGGCGAAGGCAGGUCUCUGGGCAUUAACUGACGCUGAGGAGCGAAAGCAUGGGGAGCGAACAGG
rnacentral:rRNA from 1 species